rnacentral:rRNA from 1 species
AUGGAUCGAGGUUGGGUGAGUCAACCAAGAGCUAGUGCUGCUUACAAAGAUGGUGUCGAGCAAUUUCUGUCUUUUGCAUUCCAUGAUGUUUCGGCUGGUGAUAGAAUUCUCUGUCCUUGUGUAAAUUGCCGAAAUAAAGCUAUGCAGAGUUAUGAUGGAGUGAAAACUCACUUGAGAUGUGAUGGUAUUCUUCAAGGUUACACUAAGUGGGUUUGCCAUGGAGAGGAUUACAGUGAACCAUCAUUUGCAUUUGCUCAUGUAUCAGAUAAUAGUGGCAAUUUUCUAUUCCUAGCAUCCCAAGGAAUGUUGUUGGAGAAGGCAACCAUGGAAGGAUGGAUGACAUGCCAGGACUCUUAA